rnacentral:rRNA from 1 species
UACGAAGGGGGCUAGCGUUGUUCGGAAUCACUGGGCGUAAAGCGCUCGUAGGCGGAUCUUUUAAGUCAGAGGUGAAAUCCCAAGGCUCAACCCUUGGAACUGCCUUUGAUACUGGGGAUCUCGAGUCCGGGAGAGGUGAGUGGAACUGCGAGUGUAGAGGUGAAAUUCGUAGAUAUUCGCAAGAACACCAGUGGCGAAGGCGGCUCACUGGCCCGGUACUGACGCUGAGGAGCGAAAGCGUGGGGAGCAAACAGG